UACGAAGGGGGCUAGCGUUGUUCGGAAUUACUGGGCGUAAAGCGCGCGUAGGCGGUGAUCUUUGUCAGAGGUGAAAGCCCGGGGCUCAACUCCGGAAUUGCCUUUGAAACGGGAUUGCUUGAGUCCGAGAGAGGAUGGCGGAAUUCCUAGUGUAGAGGUGAAAUUCGUAGAUAUUAGGAAGAACACCGGUGGCGAAGGCGGCUCACUGGCCCGGUACUGACGCUGAGACGCGAAAGCGUGGGGAGCGAACAGG
rnacentral:rRNA from 1 species